rnacentral:rRNA from 1 species
GACGAACGCUGGCGGCGUGCUUAACACAUGCAAGUCGAACGAAGUGGCGAACGGGUGAGUAAUACGUGAGUAACCUGCCCUCCUUUUUGGGAUAAGCCUUGGAAACGGGGUCUAAUAACGAAUUAAGGGGGAUGGGCUCGCGGCCUAUCAGCUUGUUGGUGGGGUGAUGGCCUACCACGGCGGUGACGGGUAGCCGGCCUGAGAGGGUGACCGGCCUCAAUGGGACUGAGAUACGGCCCAGACUCCUACGGGAGGCAGCGGGGGGGGGUAUUGCACAAUGGGCGAAAGCCUGAUGCAGCGACGCCGCGGGGGGGAAGAAGGCUUUCGGGUUGUAAACCGCUUUCAGCCAUGACGCGGUAGUGACAGAAGAAGCACCGGCUAACUACGUGCCAGCAGCCGCGGUAAUUC